rnacentral:rRNA from 1 species
AAGGAAUAUUGGACAAUGGGCGGAAGCCUGAUCCAGCCAUCCCGCGUGCAGGAUGAAGGCCCUCCGGGUCGUAAACUGCUUUAGACUGGGAAGAAACCACUUUUCGUGAGAAGUGUUGACGGUACCAGUAGAAUAAGCACCGGCUAACUCCGUGCCAGCAGCCGCGGUAAUACGGAGGGUGCAAGCGUUAUCCGGAAUCACUGGGUUUAAAGGGUGCGUAGGCGGCUUGGUAAGUCAGGGGUGAAAGCUUCGCGCUUAACGCGAGAACUGCCUUUGAUACUGCCGAGCUUGAAAGAGGUUGAGGUUAGCGGAACGUGACAUGUAGCGGUGAAAUGCAUAGAUAUGUCACAGAACACCAAUUGCGAAGGCAGCUGACUGGACCUACUUUGACGCUGAGGCACGAAAGCGUGGGGAGCGAAC